CUUAUUGACCAAUAUAAGACUGUUGUUUUUGAGUCAUUUUCUAAUGUUGUGCUUCCUGCUGGAGUACUAGUAGUCCCUGCUGUACUACAAAUGCUUAAGAGUGCUGCUUAUGUUCCUGUGAUUAACGUUUAGUAUGGAUGCUCGUGUUCCUUCAGGCUGUGCUUUAGGGACUUUGAAGCCAGCUCAAAUAGUUAGCUUACCUGCUGGGGUUGAGGAGGUUCCCUUUUCACUGGGGGUUGGGGAAGUUCAGACUAUGGUUGGUACGCAAGCAAGGCAAGUUGGCUAAUUACAGCAGCUGAUAGAGUCAGUUGACUUGUCCACCCUCUCUGAAUCAGAGCAGAGUAGGGUUAUUGCACUAUUGACAAAGUAUCAGUCAGUGUUUGCUACUUACAAGGGAGAUUUAGGCUGCACUACCCAUAUUAGUCAUGAGAUUCCCUUAACUGAUGAGGUCCCUGUACGACAAAGUUAUAGGCGUAUUCCACCUGCUGAAUAUGAGGCUGUAAAGGCACAUAUAAUUCAACUCUUAGAAAAACAGGUAAUAAGGGAGCGUUGCAGCCCCUAUGCAUCCACCAUAGUUUUAGUGAAGAAAAAAGAUCGUGCUAUGCGUCUUUGUGUGGAUUAUCACCAGCUUAAUCUCAAGACUUGGAGAGAUGUUUUUCCUCUCCCUCGAAUUGAGGAGUCCCUUGAUGCACUUUCUGGUGCUCGCUGGUUUUCAGACCUGGCAAGUGGUUACAAUCAGGUGCCUGUUGAAGAGAAGGAUAAUUGUAAGACUGCUUUCUGUACCCCAUAUGGGCUUUUUCGAAUUUAAUCGUUUGCCCUUUGGGCUAUCCAAUGCACCAAAUACAUUUCAGCGACUCAUGGAGCGCAUCUUUGUGUCCCAGCCAGAAAUAUCUGUUUUACUAGCCUAUUCUGUGAAUGACCUUGCUGACCUUCAACAAGGUGAUCCCAUAAUUGGUGCCUUUUUUAUUUUUGACAAUACAAACGGAGGCCAAAUCACAUUGAACGGCAAGCGUUGAAUACGUCUGUAUUGGAAUUGGUGAGAUAAUGGGAAUAUCUGGUGGAGAGAGAUAAGGUCUUGUGUCGUAGGACCUUUCACCCUGAUGGAGGAGAAGAGGUGCUACAAUUGGGUUUUGCCAGAAGUAUUACAGGAGGAGGUGUUACAGCAGUUACACCAGGGGCACGGUCAUCAAGGUAUUGAGCGGAGACCCGAGCUAGUGUGUUCGAGGUGCUACUGGCCUGGAAUGUAAAAAGCAGUUAAGAAGUGGUGUGAGGAAUGUGAAUGCUGCAAUUUGGCUAAACUAGCACAUCCUUCUGUGAAGGCACCAAUGGGACACCUGGUUUCCAAAAGACCAAAUCAAAUUCUUGCAAUUGAUUUUACUCUCCUGGAGCGUUCAAGGGAUGGUAAAGAGCAAGUAUUAGCAGGCAGUUCGAACUUAUGACCAGUGGGCUCCCACAGUAGCAAAUGUCCUGGUAAAGGAAUGGUUUUGCUGUUUUGGUGUCCCAGCUCGAAUUCACUCGGACCAGGGUUGAAGUUUUGAAGGGGCAUUGAUACAACAACUUUGUGACCUGUAUGGUAUACAGAAGACGCGUACAAUGCCCUAUCACCCUCAGGGCAAUGGCCAAUGUGAACGGUUUAAUCGAACAUUGCAUAGCGUCCAUUGUACACUUCCCAAACCUGCAAAAGCUGACUGGACUAAUUACUUGCCCCAAUUGUUGUUCUCUUAUAAUACCACCAUACAUCAGACAAUGGAUGAGUGCCCACAUUUUUAAUGUUUGGUUAAGAACCUAACUUGCCAGUUGAUUUUCUCCUUGGAAGAGUUCCACAGCAGACAGCAGGGAUGGUAAUGGACUGGAUGGAGGAACACAGAGAGCAUUUGCAAGUGGCGUUUGAUGGUGCUCGGGAGAGGAUUCAAGUGGCAGGCCAGCUGAGGAAGGAGAGGCACGAUCAGAAGGGUUAUAGCUGUCACUUAAAAGAAGGACAGUUAGUUUAUCAAAGGGACUACAGUAAUCGAGGCAGGAAUAAAAUACAAGACAUCUGGAGCCCGACAAAGUACAAGGUAAUUCGAGUACCCAUGGAAUGAGUGGUUUAUUAUAUUGCCCCUCCAGAUAAACUUACACAGGUAAGAAAAGUACAUCAGACUAUGUUGAAGCUUGUGCCUGAUGUUUUGCCUCUGUAUCAUUCUCCAUGUAUGGGCCCUGAGUCUUUGCGAUCUGAGCAUGUUGGGCAUGAAGAAGAAAGGGAGGAUGGACAAUGGAUUUAUGUCCCACUGCCAGAAGAGAGACCACCUGUUACUGUGACAGUUCCAGCUGUUUUUCCCCCUGGUCACACAGAGUUGGUUGCUGGUCUAUUGUAUCUUGAAGGCUGGCAAACGGUUCCAGGCCAGGUGACCGAUAUGCUGCCUUCUGCAAGUGUUGAGGCAUUAGACAAUGGAGAAAAUUCCCUAUGCCGCACAGCAAGGGCUGUGGGGAGCAGUGCAAAUGGGACUGCGACUUCUUUCCUUAGCCAUAGAGAGGGGGUGACAGUUGUUUUAAGGCCCUGUAUUUAGGUCAUUUAAGCUAUAUUUAUAUAUAUAUUUUUUUUUUCUUCAUUUAAUUAGCCGAUGGGGCAUCGACACAGAAAGAGGGGGUGGAUAGUGACCGAGUGGAUAAUAAGGAUGGUGUACAGGGUGGGGCAUUUUGCCCUAUAAUUAGCGCAAAAGUUGGCAGGCUUCGUAACUUCCAGACGUUUUGAUCUUUUCCGUCUCCUUCCAGUGUUGUGACCCUGAAACAUAGUGAGGUAUGAGCAUGGCAUUUGUUUAGAUGCUGUAAGAGCUUGUAUAAGGAUGUUUUGGUUUUUUACAUGGUCUAUUGUGUUAAUUGCAGAGAGAUAACCCCCGAUGCAAGAGCGUGAGCACGUGGGCUGUAUGUAAUAUUAUGCAAGUUGUGGACGCCAGUUUCGCCUAUAGCAACGAGCUAUAUCACGCAGGGUUUCUAUUCCACUCUAUUAUGCAGCGUUUCUAGUCCACUCUUGGAUUACGGCAGAGAUCUUCCUUUGUGGAGUUCUAUGAAUAUAGACCUCUGAUGUCUAGGCCCUGCUGUUUUGCUUAUGAUUUUUUUUUUUUCAUCUAAGUUUUAAGCUGAUGGUCAUAUACUGAUGUUUGUUUUGAAGUUAUUUCUUAUCUGUUAUUAUUGAUUUUGUUUGUUAAAUCCUGUUUUUACCAACCGCUAAGGGUCUAUAUGAUGUGUGGUGAAAAGAAGAGUUUUUAACCCAUUUGUCUACAUUCUAGGAGCCAGCCUGCAUGGGAGUACUUUCUGCUGGGGUCAUCAGGGCCUUUCCUUUACUGCAGUUGGCAUGAGGUUUUCUGCACUGCAUGGGCUUGGUUGAUCUUGCAUUGAAGAAUUGUGGGUUAUGAUUUUAAUAUUUGACUUAAAGUCUAGACAUCUUAAAAUUGGGAUUCUCUCUUUUUAGAUGAUUAUAAAGUUGACUGCUUAAUCAGAGAUUUCAGUACUGAUUGUUAAUAAAAGUGUUGUACUUGAA